UCCCGCUCAGUGUGUCAUCCCAGCCCUAGGGUUUUAGAUGACAUAAUUUGAAAAGUAUUCUAGACAUCACGGGUAAAAAGUUUCCCUAUAAAGCUGAACCACUAAUUCCCUAGUCCCUGACUCAGCUCCUCACAAUGUUACCAACAACGUUUUCUUUUUACAAAGAAACAUUUGUAGGCAUGGGAAGUUUAUGUACCCAGGACAGAAGACGACACCAGUUCCGCAGGACUGGAGAUGGCCAGUGAGCUGCCACACGGAUGCCGGGAAUGAAACCAGGUCCUCCGGAAGAGCAGCCAGUGCCAAGCGCUGAGCCAUCUCCCCAGCUCCUUCAAGCUGUUCUUUGUAGAGUUCGCCUACUCUUCAUAGAAUAUCUUUCCUGUCUUGACGCAGCUUUCCAAAGUUUACAAAAGAUGAAUUUGGGCCAGCCCGAGACCGACGAGCCGAGGAAGGGUGACAGAAAGGAUCUGCUGCUCAGACGAGGAUGCCCAAUAUUUAUUCCCGCCCCCGGAGGGAGUUCAUCUCCGCUCCCUUUCUCUGGAAUCUCUGGUGUCCUUCUCCGCUAUUCUGACUCCUGAGCUUUGUAACCGACUAUCAAGCUGAUAGGCAUGAGUGGCUUGUUGUCCAGGUGCCCUUACCUGGAAGCUCAUGGCCUUCCCAAGGAAAGGGCUAGUUUCUCAGAUGAUCAGGCGCCUUGACGAUCACUGUUACCGCCCAGGACACCUGACGGUUUAAUGAAGAGAAAACGCCUCUCCAGCCUGAAAUAAUCCUACUGUGAUGAUUCUUUGUGCGGCAAAAAGAUACGACUACAAAUGGAGGAGUGUCUAUGCCUUCUUGACCUGAAUGGCAGGUUGCGGUUUUGUUUGUCGGUUUUAGUUUCUGCUACAGUAUCUCACUAUGCAACCCCUGUGGGCAUGGAGAUCACCACAUGGAUCAGGCUGACCUCACGGAAAACAGCCUGCCUCUGCCAGCUGAGUGCUGACACCAAAGCUGUAGCCCUGACUGUCCUGAAAUUCCCUCGACAGACCCGCCUACCUGUCUCCGCAGUGCUGGGACUGAAGGUGUGGGCCACUGCCGCCCGGCAUAUGAUUUUGCUUUUUUAGAGAAGAUCUCACUGUGUAGCACAGGCUGACCUCGUAAAGUUAAUCUCAUAUGUAACAACAGCAUUAUUUUGCCUAUUCAGUUGCAUCUUUGUGCCUUCAUUAUUAAUCUGUUUUAUGACAAUGCUGAAUGCUUUGAAAUACUCCUGCUUCAGCC